GGUAACUUGAUUCACAGAUAUUUAAAGUUACAUUUGGCUACAUUGUAUUAGAUUGUACAAUGAAACUAAGCAAGACAAACCUGAUCUCGCUCUUCACACUGAUUCUGGUAUUUCACACCAUAGCUGUACAAGCAGAAGCUUCUCAUGAUGAUGAUGAUGAUAAUGAUGAGGCUCUGAGGAUCCUGGUUGUGGGAGUCAGAGGUCAGUCCAGAUUCAGUGCUGCAGAUCUUCUGUCAGGAAGGAAAGACGGAGGACAGGAGGACAGAGAGAUUGUAAAGACUCCAGUAAUUACAGACGGGGCUCGUAGAAUGAUGCUGGUCACUGGACCAAACCUCUGUGAGGAGGACACAGAGAGACAGACCUUCACAACAGCGCUGUUUCUCUCGUCUCCUGGACCUCACGCCGUUCUAAUGGUCCUGAAUCUGGAAGAUCAACAAUCACAACAGUGUGAUAUUGAGAAACGAGCCCAGGAGCUGCUGGGAGCAGAAGUCCUGCAGUACUGCAUUGUUCUUCUGCUCCAAAAUCACCAGGAACCUUUGACAGGAGCCUCCAGAGGGAUUGCUGGAGAAAUGAUCAACGCAUGUGGAGGAAGAUUUCAUAGACAGACUAAUGAUGAUCAGAUCAGAUCUCUGUGUGGGGCACUGGCUGCUGUCAGACAAAAAUAUCAUUGGAUUAUUACAAUUAAUGUAAACUGAUAUUUCCUUCUGACACACUACAGCAAAAGAUAGGAAAGUAAGGUCUCAUCUGCAAUGUGUGACACUUUAGAUGUGGUCGAAUGGAGUCUGAUAAUUUCACUGAUUGCAUAUUUUUUGAUCAGACGUGCCGCUGAAUUCUGAAUCAUUUGAAGAGGUCUGAACGCACAUGAUUGAAGUCCAGUCAGAAGAGCAUUGCAGUAGUCUAGCCUGAUAUCAAGACAUUGUGCAGCAUGCUGCGUUUUGUAUUGGAAACACAUGAUAGAUGUGGAAAAGAGAGGGAAGGGAAAAUAAAAGAUACUUAGAGGGUUAGUUCA
ensembl:lncRNA